CUCCUCCGUUUAAGUUACUUCUCUUCCACUAUUUUGCUCCAAAACCCAGUUUUAUUUUAUUAGGGUUUGUGAGAAAACCAACUCUAAAUUAAGGUUUUGAUUGAGUUUCGAAGUUCAAUCCCCUUGGAUGAUUCUUGAAAACGGGGAAGAAUCUACUUGAGUAAUGGCGAACGAAGAGAAACGGCAAAGUGGAAUUGAAAAUCAGCAACUACAGGAGCAGCAAGAAACUCAAGUUUCUCCAGCAGAUUGGAAGGGAAGGUUAGAAAACAAGUAUCUAGAACUCAAACAACACGCUGAAGAAUAUCCUUAUGUUUGGGCUUCAUAUAUCCUCGUAUAUGGUGGUUUUGCUUGCUGGGCAGGUUAUAGAUGGCGAAAGCUUCGAGCUACUGAAACUAGGGUUCGAGUAUUACAAGAAAGACUUCGAAAAUUAGUUGAAGCAGAGGAAGCUACUGCUUCAACUUCGACUUCCACUCCUUCGAUAUCUCCACCUAUUAAUAAAUCUACCACUGCUAGUAAAUCCUCCCAGUGACUAGCUUGUGAUUUUUUGCACUAACUUUUUGUUGUUUAUUUCAGUUGAUCGAUUAACUUCUCGGCUUUUUUUUAUGUUAAAAUUAAGGUUUGCAGAUUACAGAUAUGAACUUCAAAUUGGAUUAGUUUGUUCAAACCCUCUGUUGUAGUUAAGAAAUGGGGAUACAUUUAGUAUUUUGUAAAGGAUCUGUUUUCUCAAAAGAUUUUGGUAUUCUAUAAACAUGUUUUCGCUUAAUAGGAUCUAGGUGGUAUUUUGUGUAAUACCAUGUCUCUUGCUCUACUGCUAAUUUGUAAUGGGUGGAAUUUGAGGUGCAAAAAGGCGCUCCUCGGAACGAUUUUUUUUCUUCUUCUGUCAUCGUGUAUCAUGGUUCUUGAUCUUAUUCUUA